rnacentral:rRNA from 1 species
GUUCGAUCAUGGCUCGAUUGAACGCUGGCGGGAUGCUUUACACAUGCAAGUCGGUGGCGGCACGGACUUCGGUCUGGUGGCGAGAGUGGCGAACGGGUGAGUAAUGUAUCAGAACGUGCUUAGUAGCGCUGAGAUAACUGCGCGGCGUAGCUAAUACCGCAUACGCCCUUCGGGGAAAGCGGGGGACCUUCGGGCCUCGCACUAUUAGAGCGGCCGAUAUCAGGUUAGCUAGUUGGUGGGGUAACGGCUCACCAAGGCGACGAUCCGUAGCUGGUUUGAGAGGACGACCAGCCACUGGGACUGAGACACGGCCCAGACUCCUGCGAGGCAGCAGUGGGGGUACGGACAAUGGGGAAACCCUGAUCCAGCCAUCCCGUGUGCGAUGAAGGCCUUCGGGUUGUAAAGCACUUUUUGGCAGGAAAAACGGCACAGGACACAUACCCCGUGCAACUGACAGUACCUGCAGAAUAAGCACCGGCUAACUACGUGCCAGCAGCCGCGGUAUUAGCCGUAAGUGCAAGCGUUAAUCGGAAUUACUGGGCGUAAAAGCGUGCGCAGGCGGUUCGGAAAGAAGAUGUGAAAUCCCAGAGCUUACUUUGGAACUGCAUUUUUAACGGCUAGAGUGUGUCAGAGAGGUGGAAUUCCGCGUGUAGCAGUGAAAUGCGUAGAUAUGCGGAGGAACACCGAUAGCGAAAAACAGCCUCCUGGGAUAACACUGACGCUCAUGCACGAAAGCGUGGGGAGCAAACGGGAUUAGAUACCUGGUAGUCCACGCCCUAAACGAUGUCAGCUAGCUGUUGGGGCCUUCGGGCCUUGGUAGCGCAACUAACGCGUGAAGUUGACCGCCUGGGAGUACGGUCGCAGGAAUUAAAACUCAAAGGAAUUGACGGGGACCCGCACAAGCGGUGGAUGAUGUGGAUUAAUUCGAUGCAACGCGAAAAACCUUACCUACCCUUGACAUGUCUGGAAUCCCGAAGAGAUUUGGGAGUGCUCAUGAGAACCGGAACACAGGUGCUGCAUGGCUGUCGUCGGCUCGUGUCGUGAGAUGUUGGGUUAAGUCCCGCAACGGGCACAACCCUUGUCAUUAGUUGCUACGAAAGGGCACUCUAAUGAGACUGCCGGUGACAAACCGGAGGAAGGUGGGGAUGACGUCAAGUCCUCAUGGCCCUUAUGGGUAGGGCUUCACACGUCAUACAAUGGUCGGGACAGAGGGUCGCCAACCCGCGAGGGGGAACCAAUCCCAGAAACCCGAUCGUAGUCCGGAUCGCAGUCUGCAACUCGACUGCGUGAAGUCGGAAUCGCUAGUAAUCGCGGAUCAGCAUGUCGCGGUGAAUACGUUCCCGGGUCUUGUACACACCGCCCGUCACACCAUGGGAGUGGGUUUUUUGCCAGAAGUAGAUGCCAGCCCUAACCGUAAGGAGGGCGAUUACCACGGUAGGAUUCAUGACUGGGGUGAAGUCGUAACAAGGUAA